rnacentral:tRNA from 1 species
GGCCCGGUGGCGAAGUUAGUCUAACGCAGAGGACUGCAAAUCCUCUAUUCCGUCGGUGCAAAUCCGAUCCGGGCCU